rnacentral:piRNA from 1 species
UACUUCCCUUCUCACAUUUUGCCUUCAG